rnacentral:rRNA from 2 species
UUAAGCGACUAAGCGUACACGGUGGAUGCCCUGGCAGUCAGAGGCGAUGAAGGACGUGCUAAUCUGCGAAAAGCGUCGGUAAGGUGAUAUGAACCGUUAUAACCGGCGAUGUCCGAAUGGGGAAACCCAGUGUGAUUCGUCACACUAUCGUUAACUGAAUACAUAGGUUAACGAGGCGAACCGGGGGAACUGAAACAUCUAAGUACCCCGAGGAAAAGAAAUCAACCGAGAUUCCCCCAGUAGCGGCGAGCGAACGGGGAGCAGCCCAGAGUCUGAAUCAGCUUGUGUGUUAGUGGAACGGUCUGGAAAGUCCGACGGUACAGGGUGAUAGUCCCGUACACCAAAAUGCACAGGUUGUGAACUCGAAGAGUAGGGCGGGACACGUGGUAUCCUGUCUGAAUAUGGGGGGACCAUCCUCCAAGGCUAAAUACUCCUGACUGACCGAUAGUGAACCAGUACCGUGAGGGAAAGGCGAAAAGAACCCCGGCGAGGGGAGUGAAAAAGAACCUGAAACCGUGUACGUACAAGCAGUGGGAGCACCUUCGGGUGUGACUGCGUACCUUUUGUAUAAUGGGUCAGCGACUUAUAUUCUGUAGCAAGGUUAACCGUAUAGGGGAGCCGCAGGGAAACCGAGUCUUAACUGGGCGUUAAGUUGCAGGGUAUAGACCCGAAACCCGGUGAUCUAGCCAUGGGCAGGUUGAAGGUUGGGUAACACUAACUGGAGGACCGAACCGACUAAUGUUGAAAAAUUAGCGGAUGACUUGUGGCUGGGGGUGAAAGGCCAAUCAAACCGGGAGAUAGCUGGUUCUCCCCGAAAGCUAUUUAGGUAGCGCCUCGUGAAUUCAUCUUCGGGGGUAGAGCACUGUUUCGGCUAGGGGGUCAUCCCGACUUACCAACCCGAUGCAAACUACGAAUACCGAAGAAUGUUAUCACGGGAGACACACGGCGGGUGCUAACGUCCGUCGUGAAGAGGGAAACAACCCAGACCGCCAGCUAAGGUCCCAAAGUCAUGGUUAAGUGGGAAACGAUGUGGGAAGGCACAGACAGCCAGGAUGUUGGCUUAGAAGCAGCCAUCAUUUAAAGAAAGCGUAAUAGCUCACUGGUCGAGUCGGCCUGCGCGGAAGAUGUAACGGGGCUAAACCAUGCACCGAAGCUGCGGCAGCGACACUAUGUGUUGUUGGGUAGGGGAGCGUUCUGUAAGCCUGCGAAGGUGACCUGUGAGGGUUGCUGGAGGUAUCAGAAGUGCGAAUGCUGACAUAAGUAACGAUAAAGCGGGUGAAAAGCCCGCUCGCCGGAAGACCAAGGGUUCCUGUCCAACGUUAAUCGGGGCAGGGUGAGUCGACCCCUAAGGCGAGGCCGAAAGGCGUAGUCGAUGGGAAACAGGUUAAUAUUCCUGUACUUGGUGUUACUGCGAAGGGGGGACGGAGAAGGCUAUGUUAGCCGGGCGACGGUUGUCCCGGUUUAAGCAUGUAGGCUGGUUAUCCAGGCAAAUCCGGAUAAUCAAGGCUGAGGUGUGAUGACGAGGUACUACGGUGCUGAAGUAACAAAUGCCCUGCUUCCAGGAAAAGCCUCUAAGCAUCAGGUAACAUCAAAUCGUACCCCAAACCGACACAGGUGGUCAGGUAGAGAAUACCAAGGCGCUUGAGAGAACUCGGGUGAAGGAACUAGGCAAAAUGGUGCCGUAACUUCGGGAGAAGGCACGCUGGUGUGUAGGUGAAGUCCCUGCGGAUGGAGCUGAGACCAGUCGAAGAUACCAGCUGGCUGCAACUGUUUAUUAAAAACACAGCACUGUGCAAACACGAAAGUGGACGUAUACGGUGUGACGCCUGCCCGGUGCCGGAAGGUUAAUUGAUGGGGUUAUCCGUAAGGAGAAGCUCUUGAUCGAAGCCCCGGUAAACGGCGGCCGUAACUAUAACGGUCCUAAGGUAGCGAAAUUCCUUGUCGGGUAAGUUCCGACCUGCACGAAUGGCGUAAUGAUGGCCAGGCUGUCUCCACCCGAGACUCAGUGAAAUUGAACUCGCUGUGAAGAUGCAGUGUACCCGCGGCAAGACGGAAAGACCCCGUGAACCUUUACUAUAGCUUGACACUGAACAUUGAGCCUUGAUGUGUAGGAUAGGUGGGAGGCUUUGAAGCGUGGACGCCAGUCUGCGUGGAGCCAACCUUGAAAUACCACCCUUUAAUGUUUGAUGUUCUAACGUUGGCCCCUUAUCGGGGUUGCGGACAGUGUCUGGUGGGUAGUUUGACUGGGGCGGUCUCCUCCCAAAGCGUAACGGAGGAGCACGAAGGUUAGCUAAUCCUGGUCGGACAUCAGGAGGUUAGUGCAAUGGCAUAAGCUAGCUUGACUGCGAGCGUGACGGCGCGAGCAGGUGCGAAAGCAGGUCAUAGUGAUCCGGUGGUUCUGAAUGGAAGGGCCAUCGCUCAACGGAUAAAAGGUACUCCGGGGAUAACAGGCUGAUACCGCCCAAGAGUUCAUAUCGACGGCGGUGUUUGGCACCUCGAUGUCGGCUCAUCACAUCCUGGGGCUGAAGUAGGUCCCAAGGGUAUGGCUGUUCGCCAUUUAAAGUGGUACGCGAGCUGGGUUUAGAACGUCGUGAGACAGUUCGGUCCCUAUCUGCCGUGGGCGCUGGAGAAUUGAGGGGGGCUGCUCCUAGUACGAGAGGACCGGAGUGGACGCAUCACUGGUGUUCGGGUUGUCAUGCCAAUGGCACUGCCCGGUAGCUAAAUGCGGAAGAGAUAAGUGCUGAAAGCAUCUAAGCACGAAACUUGCCCCGAGAUGAGUUCUCCCUGAGACUUUAAGUCUCCUGAAGGAACGUUGAAGACGACGACGUUGAUAGGCCGGGUGUGUAAGCGCAGCGAUGCGUUGAGCUAACCGGUACUAAUGAACCGUGAGGCUUAACCUU